UACGGGGGAGCAAGCGUUGUUCGGAUUUACUGGGCGUAAAGGGCGCGUAGGCGGCGCAACAAGUCACUUGUGAAAUCUCCGGGCUUAACCCGGAGCGGCCAAGUGAUACUGUCGUGCUAGAGUGCGGAAGGGGCUACUGGAAUUCUCGGUGUAGCGGUGAAAUGCGUAGAUAUCGAGAGGAACACCUGCGGCGAAGGCGGCCCCCUGGGCCGGCCCUGACACUGAGACGCGAAGGCGUGGGGAGCGAACGGG
rnacentral:rRNA from 1 species